rnacentral:lncRNA from 10 species
GCGUGAGCCACCAUGCCCAGCCCUCAACAUACGAAUUUUGAGAGGACACAAUUUAACCCAUUACUGAGCACCACAGAAAUUCUCAUGAAAGGUCUGUCAGGACUCCACCAUUUUGACAUGACCCUCGUUUUCCCCCACAAUCCCCCUUCCAGGACCCCAUUGUGAUGUCACAUUUCAGGUCAAAGCAUUACAUGUUAUUCUUAACACCUGCCACUUCUCUCUUCCCACCUCUAUCUGCCUUAUUGAACUUCAUCUUUCCUUCAUUCUCUUCAACUUCCACUUCUUCUUGUAUGGUCCUGUUGAUGCCAUCUUGUUUCCGUCCCCAGACUCAUCAUCUUUACCCUCUGUCAACUGAGUUCCCACCCUGGUUCUCUCUCAAGAUCUUCCUCUCAUAGCUUUCACCCUUGGUAAACAAUGAGGACACAUCUCAAAAAGAAUGAUGUAAUUUAAUUGCCUUGAGUUGGCUGGGCCAUCAUCUAUUAUAAAGUGCUCUUAAAAUUAAAGCUAAUUUAAUUCUGAAGAACUAAGGAUUAAGAAGUUAAGAGCUGGGGUUCUUACAAUAUGGCUUGCAGACUACAAGUGUGAACUGAGGAGGUCCCCAAAGUCACUUCUUACUAAGUUCCAGGGUGGUUGGUUCUCU